GCUCCCAUCGUCUAGCUCGGUCAGGACAUCGGGUUUUCAUCCCGGUAACAGGGGUUCAAAUCCCCUUGGGAGUA
rnacentral:tRNA from 1 species